rnacentral:miRNA from 1 species
GCAGACACAUUCCAGCCAAUCAGCAGCAGACCCUCCCUCCCAUACCCUCCCACCUCCUUGACAGCUCACUAAGAAUGCAGCUUCACAAUGGAUGCUGUCCAGGAGGUGGGAGGGUCUGGGAGGGAGGGUCUGCUGCUGAUUGGCUGGAAUGUGUCUG